rnacentral:rRNA from 1 species
ACUCCUACGGGAGGCAGCAGUGGGGAAUAUUGCACAAUGGGCGCAAGCCUGAUGCAGCCAUGCCGCGUGUGUGAAGAAGGCCUUCGGGUUGUAAAGCACUUUCAGUCGUGAGGAAGGUGUGUAGUAAUAGCUGCAUUAUUUGACGUUAGCGACAGAAGAAGCACCGGCUAACUCCGUGCCAGCAGCCGCGGUAAUACGGAGGGUGCGAGCGUUAAUCGGAAUUACUGGGCGUAAAGCGCAUGCAGGUGGUUUGUUAAGUCAGAUGUGAAAGCCCGGGGCUCAACCUCGGAAUUGCAUUUGAAACUGGCAGACUAGAGUACUGUAGAGGGGGGUAGAAUUUCAGGUGUAGCGGUGAAAUGCGUAGAGAUCUGAAGGAAUACCGGUGGCGAAGGCGGCCCCCUGGACAGAUACUGACACUCAGAUGCGAAAGCGUGGGGAGCAAACAGGAUUAGAUACCCUGGUAGCUACGAGU